GGGUUUUGUUAUAGCAGCCCUAGCAAACUAACACAACUGAAUCAGAACACCAAGAGACACAUCCUGAGAAAAUUAGCCUGCGUCAAUGGACAGUCAGCCUGGAUGUUGAGACCCAGACGACCUGGAGUUCAUGUGUUGAGGAUGGCAGCGCCUCUGUCAACCUGAGUCCCUGAAUGACUCCAUGGAGCCAGACAUAUUCUCCUCACCACUCCCACUGCUACCAACCAGGUACACACACAUCAGACUUUCUAUGAGCAAGAAAUCAGCAUCUAUUAUGUGAAGUCACUGAGAUUUGGAGAUGUCUCUAUUAAAGCAGCUGGUGUCACCUUGUCAUAUUAAUCAGUAUUGUAGAGAAUAUUUGUUGAAUAAAUUACUGUGACUUAAAAAA